UACGUAGGGGGCUAGCGUUGUCCGGAAUCAUUGGGCGUAAAGCGCGUGUAGGCGGUCCGGUAAGUCGGCUGUGAAAGUCGGGGGCUCAACCCUCGGAUGCCGGUGGAUACUGUCGGGCUUGAGUACGGGAGAGGCGAGUGGAAUUCCUGGUGUAGCGGUGAAAUGCGCAGAUAUCAGGAGGAACACCAAUUGCGGAGGCAGCUCGCUGGGACGUUACUGACGCUGAGACGCGAAAGCGUGGGGAGCAAACAGG
rnacentral:rRNA from 1 species